GAGAACCUCGCACUGUCUGGAACCGGCGCCUUGGACAAAGGUAAAGAUUCCAUCUGAGUUGCUGCGAGGGAAAGAACUUUCAGACCCAGCUGGCGCCCAAGUUCGGAUGUAAUUACAUGUUGCCUUCAAGAGUUCUUGGAAAUAUUGCAUAGCGUUCUUGCUUAUCUUAUCUAUAACAGUCUUCAGAAGCAGCUUUGUGGCUUACAAGAUGAGGAGGGAUCGUUAAAGCAAGAGCUGCCAUGCUGAGUCUGGCCAAAGGGCUGUCCGGCCCUUCUCCAGCAGCGGUCAGCAGCAGCUCCUUAGCAAAAAGAAGAGGAAAGUCUUGCCUCUAUACUCUCGUAUGGCAGCUGAGAGUGUUUGACAGCGCUGGUCUGGAAGGACUCCAAGUCGAGGGAGGAGGUGGGUGUCCCUGGGACACACUGCCCAUGGGCAGGACACCCGGUGGUCCCCCUGUCGGGUGGCGUUCGCCUCCCCCGCAGCUCCAGAUUCUGCUCUGCAAACCAGUCCUUCCACUUCAGAAACAACAUUCGGUGGUUGUCGAAUUCUUUUAAUAAAUAGUGUCUGUGGAAAAAUGAAAACAGCAGGAUUCCCUGCUGACUGCUUUGCUGUAGGACAGGUGUGAGCUGUACACGUCCAGGAACAAGCUCGGACUCCUGGUCUAAUCUCAUAGCUACAGGAAUGCAGUCACACUUUCACGGGCAUGUAUUGUAUUUUUUAUCAUUUGGUAUGGAUUUUAACAUUUUGUUUAGCUUUUUACUGGACUUUGGAUCUGGCCUUCAAAGGCAAUCACAGCUGCUCCUGGAAAACUCUGGCAGAUCUUAAAACAAAAUCCUGAAUUUCAGACAUUCUCAAACUUUUCUUGCUGUUUCCCGUGGCUGAUGGGCAGGAUUAUCCCGUGCUUCCCGCCUGCUCCCUCCCCUCACACAGAAGCCCCUGAGCCUUUGAAAGCUCUGGCAGCUGUUUGACUUUCCAGGGCAUUCACAUGUUGCUCCUGGCCCGCGUCCCACCGGUGGCGGCUGGUCCGGGCUGGCAGCUCUGAUCUUGCUGCCAGUUCUGACCCCCGCUGUCCAUCCCUGCUAUUUCCUCUUAUGCAACAGCAGCUGGAGGUGACACAGUGAACCCCGUUUUGGGGCACUGCAGACACUUCUUUGCCUCGAAUCAUCUGCACAUCUGAAGAAAGGUCCGGUGAAGAAGGAGUGGCAGAACCAGCCUGAUAAGAUCAGCAGCUCCUCGAGGCUGAAAACUCCGCUAACUUCAGAAUGAGGGUCUUAAAUUCCCUUUGUAUUAUCUUAGUUGGAAAUAUUCUAACCUGGCCAGGGCCAAUGACAUUAAAAUAAGUUAUGUCGUUUAAUUAUGGGGUUUUGGUUCUUUGCAAAUUAAGCAGAUUUAAAACACUGUGCUGGUUGUGUCUUGCUUAUGAGCGAUGCUGCUGUGGGAAAAGGUUUCAGUGGGGUUGCACUGUUGGUUUCAGAUGAGUUGUGCUACAGGCUGCACUGAGGGCGUUCACGGCAGCUGGACUCCGCCUGCAACACCAGGUGCUCGUCUCCUCAGGGAAGGUUGCCCCAGGUGUUCUCACUGAUGGCUCCUGCCCCCUUGAAAUGCAGUCACCGAGGGAGCUGGUGGAGGGGCAGGAGAUGUUAAUUGCCACCAUAAGCAUCUUCCAGGAAAACUUCAGGGAGAUGGAGGAAGAGCAAGCAGCGAGCAGACAAACAGUUCUGGGCAUAUUUCUUCAGGACAGCAUGGAGUCACAGCUACGGCAGGCCUUUUCCUGCAUAGCUGUUUCAUCACUAGUCACUGAAAAAGCCAGGAAAUUCUGCAGAAAACAGCGUUUGCUGCUCCUGCUGCCCCACAGCUCCGGUGCGGGCUGGCUGUCCUGCAGCUCCUGGUGACAUGCUCCGGUCCCCACAGCCCUGCUGGGACACCAGCCGAUGGCCACGGAGACUGGGAAAGGGUGGCAAGCAAGGGAAGACUCCUGCUCUCCAGCCGACCCCAGCCACCUCCCGAAAUGUUUCCUCAACACAAGUCGCCCGAUGUUUCACACCUUCAAAGCCUGAGCGCAUCACUGUCCUUGGAGAAGCUGCUGAAGUCAAUCAGAGGCACUUUGCUAAAUCUCCUAAGUGAAAGCAGGAUUAAAUUUCACUUUUGAUAUAAUCCUCAACGGUAUCUUCAAGGGAAGUGUAGUGUUUCCUCCAGCCCUGGCUGGUGCCUCUGUGCUGAAUCACUCUGAUCCCAAAGUAAAUAAAGCUCUUUGAAAAAGGGGAAA